GACGACGCUGGCGGCGUGCCUGACACAUGCAAGUCGACGGUUCUUGUACCUUCAAGCUUGCUUGUUGGUGCAAGGAUAGUGGCGGACGGGUGAGUAACGCGUGAACAUCUACCCAUUGGAGGGGGACAACCCGUCGAAAGGCGGGCUAAUACCGCGUAAGCCGCGAGGUGAGAGGCUGCCUAUUGGUGGCCGCCGAUGGAUGGGUUCGCGUCCUAUCAGCUGGUUGGUGGGGUAACGGCCUACCAAGGCUAUGACGGGUAGGGGACCUGAGAGGGUGGCCCCCCACAAUGGAACUGAAACACGGUCCAUACACCUACGGGUGGCAGCAGUAGGGAAUAUUAGAAAUGGACGAAAGUCUGAUCUAGCAACACCGCGUGUGCGAAGAAGGCCUUCGGGUCGUAAAGCACUUUUUGGAAGGAAUAGGAAGUGACGGUACCUCCGGAGGAAGCCACGGCUAACUACGUG
rnacentral:rRNA from 1 species